rnacentral:sRNA from 1 species
UUGUUUUCCUCUCGUGUUCGCGAGCUCUGACAGCCGUCCCAGCUUUCUCUUCCCUUUCACUUCGUAGUAAAAUUCACAGACCAACCCCCAAAAACCCAAACUUGAACUCUCUGAUUUCUUCCCUCAUACAUUCAUUAUGUCUUAUAAUGUGUUCAGUUGAUCAAAUCCCUCAACUUCCAUCCCCAACAAAAUCAUAAUGGUUGAGGAAUAUCCUUCACCUUGGAUCGAUUGUUACUUUUUCAUCCCUCAACUUCCAUCUCCCACUUUUCCACUCCAUCUGACAUCAUCGUUACUUUUUCACUAUUAAAUCUCACACUUCUUCUCUCACGUCCCAUUCCCCAAUUUUAUUUUAUUUUUUCCCUAUGUCAACCGGCUCUCCCUCCCUCACGUCCCGCUCCCUCAUUUUCCCUCUUCCAUUCCCUCUUUCCACUCAUCUUCCUCGCAUCUCUACUAUCUGCCUCCGGUAAGGGAAAUGACCUCUCUCCAGAAAAAGAAAAUAAAAAGAGAAAGAGGAAGAAAAUGAAGAUAGAAAGAGAAAGAAGGAAGAAAAUGUAGAGAAAUCUUGGAUUUGGAUACUUGAUGUUGAAGCAGAGGAUGAUACUGCUGCUUGUGCUGGGCAUUUUGCAUCCAAAGUCCCAAACUCUAACCCUACCCCACCAAACCCUAACCCUACCCCAGCAAUCAGACCGUUAUAAUAUCUGCUGGAUAAUCAUCAUUCUCAAAUGAGAUCUGGAUAAUCAUCAUUCUCAAAUGAGAUCUGAAUCAAAGAUAAGCUACAUAACUUAUGUUGUUCGUAAAAUACUGGAAGGCUCGGUAAGGUUGACAAAUAAAACCAACUUAAAGAAUCAUUGGAAUACUCAUCGAAUUUGUCAUAGUGUUUCAGUUGUGUUAUGGAACCAAUUUUUCUCCCACUCCCAUACGUACCACCCAAUUAAUGGCACAGCUAGAACACUCUGACAAAUUGGAUGAGUUUUCCAAUAGUCAUCCAGCACCAUCGCCUCCUCUACCUCUAUUUAGGUAUUGGUAUUGGGUACACUACCUCCACCUCCAUAUCCACGAAACGCUGUCCUAUGUGGUUCCCCUACUGGUUAUCACAAGGCACUACAAGAAAUUCAAGAUGAGCGCCUUUCAUCGGUUCUCUUCUUCACCGGAAAAUAUUGCCGGACUAGCUCUAAAGGGAUACAUCCAUUAUUUCUGGAUUUAUGCAACAAGUGUAAACAUAUGACAGUGUAUGUUUUUCCCCUGCCAGCAAAAUGCCUAGGAGGACCAGCACAAACAGCAUCUCGCAUCCUCUGCUGCAACAUCAAGAAUCCAAGAUGAAUUGUUGGUUAUUGACUGGUGAUUUGGGCGUUUUUCACUUGUUUAAAAUCCUUCAGGAGUUUGGAUGUUCAGCUUGCAUGGCAGCUAGUGAUGCUUCAUCAAGUAAUCAAAGAAGUUGUGGUUAGUAGAUUAUAGAAGAUUUUGUUACCUAUCACAUUUUCAAUUAAAACCGAGAGACGAGGGAUGCACAAGGAUUUGCUGGUUAGUAGAUUCAUUGACCAUGUAUGAUAUUGAAUGUAUCCGAGUUUUGUUUUGAAUUUUUCCUUUUGUUUCUGAUGAUUGAACCAGAUAAAAUUUUGUCAAUGAAAAAUUGAAUUGCAUUUGUAUUUC